rnacentral:piRNA from 1 species
UGCAAAUGUGCUAUAAUUAGGUGCUCUUAGA